AGUGAACGCUGGCGGCGUGCUUAACACAUGCAAGUCGAACGAGAACGGGAUAUAGCUUGCUAUAUUUGUCAGCUAAGUGGCGCACGGGUGAGUAAUGUAUAGAUAACCUGCCCUCUAGAAAGGAAUAACAGUUGGAAACGACUGCUAAUGCCCUAUAUGCCUUUAAUACAUAAGUAUGCAAGGGAAACGCUUUAGUGCUAGAGGAUGGGUCUGUAUGUUAUCCGCUCGUUGGUGAGGUAAUGGCUCACCAAGGCUAUGACGCCUAACUGGUUUGGGAGGAUGAUCAGUCACGCUGGAACUGAGACACGGUCCAGACUGCUACGGGAGGCAGCAGUGGGGAAUAUUGCACAAUGGACGAAAGUCUGAUGCAGCAACGCCGCGUGGAGGAUGACACAUUUCGGUGCGUAAACUCCUUUUAUAUAGGAAGAUAAUGACGGUACUAUAUGAAUAAGCACCGGCUAACUCCGUGCCAGCCGCCGCGGUAAAAC
rnacentral:rRNA from 1 species